ACUCCAGCCUGGGCAACAGAGUGAGAUGCUGCCUCAAAAAAAAAAAAAAAAGUGCAGAUGAGUUUCUUAAUCUUGUGGAAGUGCAUGAUACUCAGAUCAGAUGCCCUUUCACAGAUGAUAAGGACAGUACUGGGGGUCUAAAAUGAGGUUACAGUGAAAUACUGCUACCUUGCCACCUACUUUACUCAGCAUAAAAAUGCAUUUAAAUCCCUCAAUUCUUCUCUCUGGAAAAGGUAUACAUCUGUGAGCACCUCCUAAGAGAAAAACGCAAACUUCAGAACAUGAAAUCUUCCCAGUUAGACUUGUUGUGCUUAUUUAAUUGAAUGGCAUUUUCACUGGAAAAUUUUAAUCAAUUCAUGUGUCUCCUUUAAAUCACAAGACUGAAAGGACCCAGGGAAUCCAGUAGUGAGAAUUUACUCCUUUGGGGAAAAAACCUCUAAGUGCUAAUUUUUAACCUGCAUAUCUUUCUUGCCAAGGGCACUACGUUUAUCUUGUGUGCACAAUUUCUUUAGGUUACACUCACUUUGGGGUAACCCAUGCCAAAUGAACCCAGCAGGCAGACUUAGAAGAGAAGGCAUUGUGUAAAAAUGUAACAAGGAUUGACUGGCUCUAACAAUGUCUGACAGUCUUGCUGGUAUAUUCUUCAGUGCACAACAGGGUAUUCUGUAGGAGUUAAGCUGUGGCAUGAGGUGGAAGUUCAGCCUGGCUGCUGACAUAUUUUGGACAGCAGAGAGGGCUGAGGUUGCUGUGGUUGCCCUGACAAUUGAGGGGUUGGCACAUCAGCAGAAUGAGAAUUGGAGAAAUCUGGCAAAAAGUAAAGCCACAGGAGGGUGAAACCUGGAGGAACAAAGCCUGGUUUCCCAAGCCACCCAGCAGGCUCAGGUCCAUGUGGCUCCAACUCAUAACCUGGUGGAGGCUGCUGGGAGAAAAGUGCAGGAAGGAACGCAGACAAGGAAGGAAUGGCAAGGGAAGGAGCAGAGGGGAGAUGCUGAAGGUGGGCAGAACAGACAACAAACACAGCUAAGAAUGAGGAGUCCAAGAGAAGCAUGACAGGCCAAAGAAAACCCUGGGGUGUCAUAGAGGGAGCAUGUGAGAGCAGGCAGUGCAGAAGCAAAUGGAGUCAAUCAAACCUCUUCAUCAAAAUGGAAACACAGCAUUUGAGGACUUACUGUUUGAACUUCUAUGAGAAACCAGGACAAUAAAAGCUGGCAGUUUUAUUGCUUACUAUGUGCCAGGCACCGUUCUAACUGUUUUACAAACAUUAACUUAUUUAGUACUUACAACAGUCGUUAGGGUAGCUAUUACAACCUCCAUUUUACAGAUGGAUAAACUAAGGCACACAGAGGUUAAGUAACUUGUCAAAGGCCACCAAGCUUAUCAGAAGCAAAGAUGAAAUUUCAACUCAAGUAGUCUACCUCCAGAGUCUGUGUUCCUGGUCACUAAGCUAUACUCUCUCCCACGGACCCACGACAUGUAAUUAUAAUAUAUGAUGUGUAUAUGAAACGUAAUUGCCUGAGGCAGGAUUCUCAAUUCCGACUGCUGCCCAAGGCUGGUGUGUGGGUGAGUGGCACAGGCGAUGACUCAGACCCACUGAUUGUCCCAGACCACAUCAUAACUGGGAGAAGCUGGUUUCUAUUUGUCACCACACAUAUGCCCAGGAACUCUGGUGAAGACAUUAAAGAGUUUAUUUUUCAGGAAAAUAUUCUCCCCAAAGAAAGCUUACUGCAAGAGCCAGAGGUGGCAGGAAAGAAGGAAAAAGGGACAGGUUUUGCCAGAUUACAGAAGAAUUCCUUUUUGGAUAAAGAAUAGAACGCCGACUUUGAUGCUAGUUGGACUUGUCCACCAGACAGUCAAUAUAAAACAAGGAAACACUGUCAUUUAAACAGUUCCGGUAGGAGCUCCGGACAGAGAAACACUGCAUUUUAAGGAGGAAACUGUACACCCAUGCCAUGGUAUUUGAGAAUCUAGGGAUUCAUGGUGCUCUCCGGAUCUUUCCAUCAUGGGUAUCAAAGGUUUACUGUCAUCACCUAGAGGCAGAAGGCUAUAUGCUGGUCCAGGACUUUGGCACUGGAAAGACCUGAGUUCAAAUCCCAGCUCCACUAGUGUAUAGGUUGAAGAGAGACCCUGCAAACAAGCCCAAGGAAUGUUAAGAGUGAUAAUAGCUAAGAUCUACUGACCACUUAAUAUUGUGCCGAGUACUCUGUUUGAUGAAUGAACAGCCAUACAGAAAUGUGAUUGGACACAAAGGAUCUGGCCUAACGGUGAAGGACGGAGUGGGGAAACCCAGCAAAACCACACAAUUUUUUACUGAGUACUUCAGUUACAAGGUAGAGCGUGAACCCUGCAAGAGAAAUGAGCUCCUAUUGAUUUGUUUAUAAAUUAUCACAACAAAACAAAAUGCCCCUGGCUAAACUGGGAUCUGGGAUUUGGGGUUGUGCCAACCGUCAGGUGAUCACUGCUCAAUUCCAAAUACACCCCUUAAUAGCUGCUCCGUGAUAAUGGACUGGACUCGAAGCAUUUCUUCCUUACUCAAAGCCUAACAUUGAGUGAGCUCAAUAUUAGUUAGUUAGAGUGAGCUCAGUGUUAGGCCUUGUCAGUAGAGGGCGCUGCAGGGACACUGUAAUGGCUCCAGAGUACUGUGUUUUGACGUUUUCUUGCUGCUGCUUCACUGUCCUUCAGCGGUGCAUGUAUAUAGGGACAUCUCUGCUCCAGUCUUGUGUGCAGAGCAUGCAGUCCCUUAGUGACUACGCAGCCCUGUCCUGAGGCUGAGUAACCACCUUUCCACAGGCCUCCCACACAGACCCUGCAUGCUGCAUGCAGGCCUUGUGCCCACCGUGAUACUCCAAGUGCCCACCGUGAUACUCCAACUCCCCACCAGCCUCAGGUUGCCUGUGCCCCAAAGCCAGCAAACUUCUGUGACAUCACAGGGAGCGACAUCCACAUCCUCUCCAAAGCAGUCUGAACCCAGCCUUGGGGAGUAGCUUCCGAGUGUGUCCUUCCUUGCGUAUUUUUCUUCAGCCUUAGGGCACUUAUUGAGUUCUCUUUACAUCUUUAUAGUUACUCUCCUAUCUUAGUUUAGUAAUUCCUUACACUAAACUUCCUGUUUAAAUUCCUUCGUGGUUUUUGUCUCCUCGUUUGACCCAGACUGACACAGUGUUUAAUUCUCAUUUCUGAAUUCAUAUAGUCAUCUACUCUUUCCUCAUCAUACACCACUUACUCUAUCCAUUAAAAAUAUGCCAUCUUUUCAUGUAUAUGUCAGCUGAAAUGUUGGCCAACUACAUGUUUUGAAAAACUUUGAAUGAUGCAAGAAAACAUCUUCUAAGCUUAUUUUAUUCUUUGCUUAUAUCAUAUGAAAAAAUUCCAAGCUCAGCACCUUGCCUACCCAAGGAUUUAAAGUCAAAUUAAUUAUUUCUUCCUCUUUUCACACUCUGUUCUUUCUCUCUUCCACAGAAAAGGGCUGGACUUUUGUUUAUAAUUUAAAAAUAACAAAUAAUUUCACAAUGCCUUAUUCUAAAACAUUUUAACAAGAAUUUGCAGAUCCUAAUUACUUCCAGAAUAACAUUUGAAACUAAGGUAUUAAAAAGUGCAUUUAAAAAUAUAGAUCAUUUAUUCAUCUUUCCUUUAGUACGCAGUAUUGGACAGACUGUAGACUAGGAACUGUGAUAUAAAAAGAUGAAUGAGGCAUCCUCACUUCUGCAAACUGCAAUAGAACCAGAAUAUAGGUGAAAAAAGAGAAGGAAAGGCAGGGAGACUUCAUAGCAAGAUAUAACAAAAAAUUUCCUCCAAAAAAAUCACUCUUGUAAUAAUGACCAACAUUAUUAAACACUUCUUAAGUGUAUAACCCAUAUAAUUCAGUGGAAAAAAGAAUCAAAUACCUUUAAGAAUAGUUUCAUAUCACAUCUAUUUGAACGUGGGCUCUUAAUUGUAAAAGCUAAAUUAAAUCAAAAUCUAAAACAAAACUAUACUAAAAUAGAACAGAAAGAAAAGAAUGAUAUGUAUUAUUUGUAGUAUAUUCCCGUGUUCCUUGGUAAUAGAAACAAGCAAAUAUCUGGGAUUACAAAAAUUUUUAGGACAUCUAAUUCACCAGCAUGCAAAUAACUUGACAUUUUACAACCAUAUUUAUAGUACCAUUUGAGGUUGCCUGAAUAAAUAGUUUCCAAUCUAUAUGCAUCUCUUUGACAUGUGAGAGAGGGCUCAAGAAA